rnacentral:rRNA from 1 species
CAGAGGGUGCGAGCGUUGUUCGGAAUUACUGGGCGUAAAGCGCGCGCAGGCGGCUCUUUAAGUCUACCCGUGAAAUGCCGGAGCUCAACUCCGCGCACGCCGGGGGAUACUGGAGGGCUGGAGACGAGUAGAGGCAAGCGGAAUUCCGGGUGUAGCGGUGGAAUGCGUAGAGAUCCGGAAGAACACCGGAGGCGAAGGCGGCUUGCUGGGCUUGGUCUGACGCUGAGGCGCGAAAGCGUGGGGAGCGAACAGGAUUAGAUACCCUGGUAGUCCACGCCGUAAACGAUGGGCACUAGACGCGGGUGGGAUCGACCCCUUCCGUGUCGCAGCUAACGCGCUAAGUGCCCCGCCUGGGGAUACGGCCGCAAGGCUG